rnacentral:rRNA from 1 species
UACGAAGGGGGCUAGCGUUGCUCGGAUUGACUGGGCGUAAAGGGCGCGUAGGCGGUUUGCAUAGUCAGACGUGAAAUUCCUGGGCUUAACCUGGGGGCUGCGUUUGAUACAUGCAGGCUUGAGUUCGGAAGAGGGUCGUGGAAUUCCCAGUGUAGAGGUGAAAUCGUAGAUAUUGGGAAGAACACCGGUGGCGAAGGCGGCGACCUGGUCCGAUACUGACGCUGAGGCGCGAAAGCGUGGGGAGCAAACGGG